CGGAGAGGCCAAGGUGAUCGCUGGUGCGUCGGUCGGGCGACCGGACGGCGCGCGGGAGGAAAGUCCGAGCUUCGCAGGGCAGGGUGCUGGCUAACGGCCAGUCGAGGCGACUCGCAGGAAAGUGCCACAGAGAACAGACCGCCCGGUCGUCCGCGAGGACGGUCGGGUAAGGGUGAAACGGUGCGGUAAGAGCGCACCGCCCGGCCGGUGACGGUCGGGGCACGGCAAACCCCACCCGAAGCAAGACCAGACAGGGGUCGCGUGGCCCGCGCCAUGACUCCGGGUUGGUCGCUGGAGCCCGUCGGCAACGGCGGGCCUAGACGAAUGGUCACCGCCGGCGGCAACGCCGGAACAGAACUCGGCUUAUCGGUCCUCCGGCGG
rnacentral:RNase_P_RNA from 1 species